rnacentral:lncRNA from 10 species
AGAUGACCCAAGCCAAGUGCAGAAGGCGAGCCUCCUCCCAAAGCUCGGCUAGUCCCUCCACCAAAGCCAGGAUCAGAGCCCACACCUGCCUGGCCAACCCCUGGCACUGAUGAUGCCUGGGUGCGGGUUAAGCUGGGAGGAGCUCCUGCCUGCCUGGAUGAAGAGGAGGUCAAGACUUUGUCCCCCACUCCGCAAGAUACCCUCUCUGUUCCGGAGCGGUGGGUCCCUCCCCUGUUAGGACCUUGUCUCCCUCAGGACUGGACCUGGAUCCUGGGCCUGCAGUCAGAUUGCCAGUUUCACUUAGAGGUGGAAAUGUCAACCCACUGGUUGGAAUGGGAAGGUGAGACAGGAUUUCACCAUGUUAGCCAGGAUGGUCUUGAUCUCCUGACCUCAUGAUCUGCCCACCUCGGCCUCCCAAAGUGCUGGGCUUACAGGCGUGAGCCACCGUGCCCGGCCAAAAAUAACUUUUAAAAACAUGAGUAUAGCAUACACACACACAAAAGUCCACAAAUCCUAGGUGUACCACUUGAUGAAUGAUCCCAACGUGAGCACACCUCUGGAUUACCACCUGGAUCAAGAAAUAGGACAUCACAGCAGCUGGCAGCUUCCAAGGAGAAGCUCUGGAAAGUUCUGCCUGUCUCAGCACCUGGCUGGAUCGGAAACGAGUUUUCUUUAACCAGAUUUUUAAUGACUGACUUAUGUGGACAAAUCAUAACUGAAUGAAUCACCUCCUUUGUUGAUUUUUUUGGGUACUUUAUUUGCUAUUAUAAAUGAUGCUGUAAUAAGCACCCUUGAAGAAAUCUUCAUAUCUGCCUCUCCUGUGUAGCAGGUCACAGUGCCUGGGUUUGGUUCUAGCCCUCAUUUGUGAACUGUGUGACUCACCAUGCCUUUUUUCUUUCUGUAAGACAGGAAUAAUGGUAAGAAUUUAAAUGGGGGUAAUAUGGAGCGCGUUUAGUUCAGAGCCUGGUGCAUACAAGCACUCAAUAAGUACUGGCGAUUAUUAGACCUUUAGAUUAAUUUAUUAGAAGUUGGAUUUCUGGUGAAAGGGUUUGAGUGUUUUUGAGGCUUUGGCACAGAAUACCCAGCUGGUCCCAGAAAGGUGGUUCCCAUUUACCUGCCCGAAGGUAAUUCACCCUUACUGAUACUGAGUACUGUUUUCUAAAAGAACAUUAAAAAUUGGAUAGGUUAAAAACAGGUGAAUACAUUUUUUUAGUUGCAUUUUUUUGGUUACCCGUGAGAGUGAACAUGUUGCCAUGUGUUUGCUGACCUCCUAAAUGGUCUAUUUGCUCCUACCUUUGUACCCCAAAAGUCUGCUCUCAAGAUGGUAGCCAGAAUGAUCCUUUUUGAGACAUAAGUCAAAAUUUCACUCUUCUCCUUAAAGCUCUGCAAUGGUUCUCAGGUUAAAAGCCAAAGUCCUGUUCAAGGCCUCCAGGGUCCUCACCACUUGGUCCCUUGCUCUUUCUGUUCUAGCCAACUUGGCCUUCUCCUGCCCCUCCGCCGCACCAUGGCAAUUUCCCCUGCUCUGUGUGGUCAACUACCUGAAUCUGUUCAAAGCUUUGCUCAAAUGUCUCCUUCCUGAUGAGACCUCCCCAGCCCCUGAGCUCCCCAUGCCUCACUCCUGAUCGCCUUACUUAACCCUUCUUUUUCUUUUUUGCCAGUAGUACUUAUCACCGUCUAAAAUACUUCAUAAUUUACUUGUUUAUUGUUUGCCCCUCUCCAAUAGAAUGUAAGCUCCUUGGGGCAGGGACCUUUGUCCUUUGUCUUGUUCACUGCUGUGUCCCAUGUGUAAACUUGUCUGGCACAGAAGAGGUGCUCGAUAAAUAUUUGUUGAGUGAAUGAAUGGUAAAUUUUCUGUUCAUAUUCUUUGACUAUUUUCUAUUGUAAUGUUCAUCUUUUUAGUAUUGGUUUAUAAGAUGUAUAUUUAGCACCUUUUCAUAUAUCACUCUUUGUCACAUAUUAUGCAACUAAUUUGUCAUUUCCAUCAAUUUUUAAAAUACUUUCUUGAUGCUUCAUUUUUAAGCUGUCAGAUUAUUAAUCUUUUCUUUAUGGUCUUGGACUUUAUUGUUGCAUAACCGCUGCCUUCACCAGGAACAUAUAAAUUUUCAAUUAAAUGUUCUUCUGAG